rnacentral:rRNA from 1 species
UACAGGGGGGGCAAGCGUUGUUCGGAAUUACUGGGCGUAAAGGGCUCGUAGGCGGCCAACUAAGUCCGACGUGAAAUCCCCAGGCUUAACCUGGGAACUGCGUCGGAUACUGGUUGGCUUGAAUCCGGAAGAGGCGAGUGGAAUUCCUGGUGUAGCGGUGGAAUGCGCAGAUAUCAGGAGGAACACCGAUGGCGAAGGCAGGUCUCUGGGCCACUACUGACGCUGAGAAGCGAAAGCAUGGGGAGCGAACAGG